UUGAGUGGGGGAUAACCUAGGGAAACCUGGGCUAAUACCGCAUAACACUUACGAGUCAAAGCAGCAAUGCGCUGAAAGAGGGGGUCGCGGUCGAUUAGUUAGUUGGCAGGGUAAUGGCCUACCAAGACUGUGAUCGAUAUCCGGCCUGAGAGGGCGCACGGACACACUGGAACUGAAACACGGUCCAGACUC
rnacentral:rRNA from 1 species